CCGCUCUCACGACUCCCUCUGAAUCAAAUUCACUCUCAUCUUCGCUCCUCCUCCCUCUCUCUAUUCUUCGCUUCUCAUCUCUUUAAUUUUCACCUUCUUCAUACUCGAAGACUAACAUUUAGUUUAGAUAUAGACAUUUCGACUAUCAAUCGCCAUUUUUCUUGAAUUUCGACUUUUUAUCGCGCCGCCGAAGUAGAUCUUUCCCUUAAUCGGCGUCGAAAGCUACGGGUUUCGAAUUUGGAUAUCCACACCGCAAAUCCGUGCCGACUGGACAUCCUGUUGCAGAUAGAUUACAAUUUCAAUGAAAGAUCAUCGGAAUGAGAGUGCCCACCCUCCUAACGGGGCGGCUGCUGGACCUGGGAAUCCUUACUCGAUUGAUCUCAAGAGCUUUGGCACACGAUUGAAAACCUUGUAUGAACACUGGAAUAAUCACAAAGUUGAUCUCUGGGGCUCUUCCGAUGUUCUCACAAUAGCAACACCCCCUGUUUCAGAGGAUUUAAGGUACUUAAAAUCCUCUGCUUUGAACGUUUGGCUUUUUGGAUACGAGUUCCCGGAGACAAUCAUAGUUUUCUCGAGGAAGCAAAUCCAUUUCUUGUGUAGCCAGAAGAAGGCUUGGCUUCUUGAAGUUGUCAAGAGGCCUGCCAAGGAGGCUGUAGGUGCUACUGUCGUGAUGCACGUGAAGGCUAAAGCAGACGAUGGAACUGGACUGAUGGAUGCGAUUUUCCGUGCUAUCCGUGGACAAUCCAAGGAUGACGGCAACGAUUCUCUUUUUGUUGGGUACAUGGCUCGAGAGACACCUGAAGGAAAUCUUUUGGAGAUAUGGUCUGAUAAACUGAAAAAUGCAGGAUUUCAGCUCGUUGACAUGAUAAAUGGGUUGUCCGAUCUGUUUGCUGUUAAGGACGGUACUGAGAUAUUGAAUGUUAAAAAGGCUGCUUAUCUAACUUAUAACGUAAUGAACAAUGUUGUGGUUCCAACACUUGAGAGCGUCAUUGACGAAGAAAAGAAAGUCACUCAUUCUCACUUAAUGGAUGAGGCAGAGAAAGCCAUACUGGACCCCUCAAAGGCCAAAGUGAAGCUGAGGGCAGAAAAUGUUGAUAUAUGUUACCCGCCAAUAUUUCAGAGUGGAGGGGAAUUUGAUCUCAGGCCUAGUGCUGCCAGCAAUGAUGAGUUGUUAUAUUAUGAUUCCGCCAGUGUGAUAUUAUGUGCAGUUGGUGCCAGAUAUAAGAGUUACUGCUCAAAUAUUGCUAGGACCUAUCUGAUUGACGCCACUUCCCUUCAGAUCAAGGCUUAUGAGGCUCUUCUCAAAGCUCAUGAGGCUGCAAUUAAUGCACUGAAGCCUGGAAAUAAGGUAAGUGCUGCCUAUCAAGCUGCUGUUGCUGUGGUUGAGAAGGACGUACCGAAUUUAUUACCCAAUUUGACUAAAUCUGCUGGAACAGGCAUUGGUCUUGAGUUCCGUGAGUCAGGGCUUAAUAUUAAUGCGAAGAAUGACAGAAUUGUGAAGCCGGAGAUGGUUUUUAAUGUAUCUCUUGGUUUCCAGAACUUACAGAACCUGAGUAAUAAUCGGAAAAGUCCGAAUUUUGCCCUGUUACUGGCAGAUACAGUUAUUGUCGGACAACAAAAUCCAGAGAUUUUGACUUCUAAGUGCUCUAAAGCUGUUAAGGAUGUGGCUUACUCAUUCAAGGAGGAUGACGAAGAAGAAGAAAAGUCAAGAGCGAAAGCUGAGGUCAAAUCAGAGGCUUUCAUGUCCAAGACAACGCUCAGGUCAGAUAAUCAUGAGAUCUCCAAGGAGGAGCUUCGGAGGCAGCACCAGGCAGAGCUUGCACGACAAAAGAAUGAAGAAACUGCUCGGAGACUUGCUGGUGAGAGAAAUGGAGCAGGAGACCAUCGUGCAGCUUCAAAGACCUCUACUGAUUUGGUUGCUUACAAGAAUGUUAAUGAUCUACCCCCUCCUAAAGAUUUUAUGAUUCAGGUCGACCAGAAGAAUGAGUCUGUGCUGUUGCCUAUAUAUGGAAGUAUGGUCCCCUUCCAUGUUGCUACAAUAAGGACAGUUUCUAGCCAACAAGACACCAAUAGGAAUUGCUACAUUCGCAUAAUAUUUAAUGUUCCUGGGACUCCUUUUAAUCCCCAUGACACAAACUCCUUGAAAUUCCAAGGGGCUAUUUAUUUGAAGGAGGUCUCUUUCCGCUCUAAGGACCCAAGACACAUAAGUGAAGUGGUGCAGUCGAUUAAAACACUAAGACGGCAAGUUGUAGCCAGAGAAUCUGAAAGAGCUGAGAGGGCAACCUUGGUUACACAGGAGAAACUUCAGCUUGCAGGGAACAAAUUUAAACCAAUAAGGUUGCCUGACCUUUGGAUUCGUCCCGUUUUUGGAGGUCGUGGAAGAAAGAUUCCAGGAACACUUGAAGCUCAUGUAAAUGGUUUUCGAUUCUCUACUACUAGGCCCGACGAGCGUGUGGAUAUCAUGUUCGCGAAUAUAAAGCACUCAUUUUUCCAGCCAGCGGAGAGAGAAAUGAUAACUCUUCUUCACUUCCACUUGCACAAUCACAUAAUGGUGGGGAACAAAAAAACCAAGGAUGUGCAAGUUUAUGUUGAGGUGAUGGAUGUUGUGCAGACAUUGGGAGGUGGAAAGAGGUCUGCCUAUGACCCAGAUGAAAUUGAAGAAGAACAGCGGGAGAGAGAUAGGAAAAAUAAGGUCAACAUGGAUUUUCAGAGCUUUGUGAAUCGUGUGAAUGAACUUUGGCAGCAGCCCCAAUUUAGUGGUCUAGACCUUGAGUUUGAUCAGCCUUUGAGAGAACUGGGCUUCCAUGGGGUGCCAUACAAGGCCUCGGCUUUCAUAGUCCCAACUUCAAGCUGCUUAGUUGAGUUGAUUGAGACUCCUUUUCUUGUUGUCACCUUGAGUGAAAUUGAGAUUGUGAACCUGGAGAGAGUUGGUCUUGGGCAGAAGAAUUUUGAUAUGACCAUUGUCUUUAAGGACUUCAAGCGUGAUGUACUUAGGAUUGAUUCAAUCCCUUCAACUUCACUUGAUGGCAUUAAAGAAUGGCUUGACACAACUGAUAUCAAGUACUAUGAGAGCAGGUUGAAUCUCAACUGGAGGCAGAUCUUGAAGACAAUCACUGAUGAUCCACAAAGCUUCAUUGAUGAUGGAGGUUGGGAAUUUUUGAACUUGGAAGCUAGUGACUCAGAUUCUGAGAACUCAGAAGAAUCAGACAAGGGUUAUGAGCCAUCAGAUUUGGAAUCUGAAUCUGAAUCUGAUGAUGAUGCUUCCGAUAGUGAAUCAUUAGUAGAAUCUGAGGAUGAAGAGGAGGAUUCAGAAGAAGACUCAGAGGAGGAAAAAGGGAAAACAUGGGAGGAGUUAGAAAGGGAAGCAAGCAAUGCAGACAGAGAGAAAGGUGAUGAAUCAGACAGUGAGGAAGAGAGAAAGAGGAGGAAGCUGAAGGCAUUUGGGAAGUCUCGAGCUGGUCCUAGUAGUAGUCUUCCCAAAAGGUCAAAGUUGAGAUAGAUUCAAUAGGCAGUUAGAGCAUGUAGCUCUUCUAGCAUAACAACUUUUUGGGUAACUCGGCUGUGAAUACUGGUUGAUGGUGGUGGACUCAGGCAUGCUGUGUGUGCGACGAUAGUGGUGGAGUAUGUAGGUUACCUGAGGAAUAUUUGGUAAGACAAAGGUUCGCAACAGCAUGUAUUAAAAGUCAAGGCCAUAGAUUGAAAUGGCACGCCAGUUCCAUUUCCAUUCUCAAGACAUGGGGUAUGAGAAGUUUGGGGAAUAGCAUGUAUUCAACAGCUAUCAUGAAGGUAGUUUGGUUUAGCUUUUUUCUUUCCCUUUCUUUUUGGUUUAAAAUGCGACUGAGGGCGGACUGUAUCACUGUGCCAUGAAUGUUUUAGGAUUUGAGCCACUGGUUAAAGUGGAGGGUGGAUCAAACCCCCACUUCAAGUGCCACUUGGCAUCUCUAGCUAGGUUACAGGUAGAGGUAGAGUAAUAUUUGUUGUCUGUUUUGAGGGUUUAGUAAUUGUACCACAGAACCAUUCCUGUUUCUCCAGCACAUGGUGGCAUUUUGGAAUGACUUCACAAGCUGCAGCAAUUGAAUCUUGAUUUGUAGGCUUGUCGGUUGUGGAAAUAGUUCAUUAUCUGAGUCAGUGCAUGAGUAUCAUUUUGCUUAAAA